AUACCUACCUGGUAGGGGAGAUACCAUGAUCACGAAUGUGGUUUUCCCAGGGCGAGGCUUAUCCAUUGCACUCUGGAUGUGCUGACCCUGCAAUUUCCCCAAAUGAGGGAAACUGUACUGCAUAAUUUGUGGUAGUGAGGGACUGUGUUCACACUCUCCCCUG
rnacentral:snRNA from 1 species